UAUCUUCUUCUCUUUUCUUCAUUUUUUCCUUUCAGAUGCUUCUUUUUGGCCCUCUUCAUAUUUCUUAAAUUUUUAAUCCAACUGCUGGUGUGUUAAAUUUGAUGGUGAAACUCCAUUUAUAAGCCUCUAAUCUUGCUGAAUUUUGAUUAAUAACAGUGAGCAAACGAAAGAUCGCGCAUCUGAUAAAGAAAUAAUUCCUUCAUCUUCAUCGUUAAUUUUAUUGUUCUUUCUCUCCCCUUUUUUGCUCUUUCAACAAGUUACAGCCCACACACAAUUUUAUUUACUGAGAUUAAAGGCUUCUCGCUACACUGAUAUGGGUGUUAAGCCUAAUUAAGAAGACAAAUUUUGGGUAUAGCUUCACAGUUUGGCUCUAGAAGCAUCCUUCUUCAAUCUUUCUCAUCCCCAAAAUCAAACGCAAGACUACUCUUAUUCCAAUAUCAAUUUCAUAUUCUCUCACUUCUCUUCAUCACCGCAUCUGGCAUUGUCGUUUCAGUCUUCCAAAGACUACCCUUUCAGAGUUUCAGUUCGUUUCGUCUACUCGGCUUGGGGAUAUAAUUAAUUUCAAGAACUUUGAAGUAUAGUUAGAGGCAUCGUCAACCUAAAAAGUUGGUGCUCUUUUUUUCUAUUGACUAGUCCUUCCGGAACAGGCUUUCUUGGUUACUCAGAGAUCUGUUAGAGCGGACGGGUUUCUUUCAGUUUGUCUCUUCAGUGAGUGGCGACUGGCGACUGGGCUAUUCAAAGCUCAAAGUUGGUAUCUUUCGUUUAUGUAUUGUUGCUCGACUUUCCUCGGUUAACAUAUGAUGCUACCCUUAGCUAUUUAUGUUAUUGAAGUCGUAUGCUUAAGCUUUGGCUAAUUUAGGAGAUCUAAAUUAUCUCUAUUUUUUUAAUGAUUUCUUUGUACUAUGAUUUUAUUUUCUGUUCUUCAUUUUGGUCUUCUUAUUACCUUUUCUGUUGUUCUAUAUGGUUUCUGUAUUUUGGUCUUUUAAUUCUUUGGUCGUGAUUAUAUUUUGAUGUCGCAGUGAUAGUAAAUUCGUAAAUUCAUUGACUUUUAUGAUUUGUGUGUUGAGGAGGGAGCUCAAGCUGAAAGAUCUGGUCAACCCUUUCCUUCGAGCAGUUUGUUUGCGAAAUGAACGGUAUAAACUUUUCUUUUGUUCAAUCACGGUCACUAACUCUUUAAUAAAACAUUAGAAGUAAAAAUUGGGACUAAUUUGAUACUUGGUUUUUGGUUUUAUAGGUUCUUAUCUGUGUGAGUUUCUUUUUUUUUUUUUGGGUAACCGGUCUAUGUAUGUUCGGGUUUGUAAUUUUAUUGACCAACUUUAAGCCUUCGAUCUUUUUCUCUAUUUGAGGUAGCAUGCGUUUUUCUGGGAUUGCUUGUAGAGCAUAGUGAAAAUGCAACUUAGUUCAAAUUGUAAUCCUUACACAUGAUUUCCUUGACUAUAAUAGUGAUUGUCAUUUCAUUA